rnacentral:rRNA from 1 species
UACGGGGGGAGCAAGCGUUGUCCGGAAUUAUUGGGCGUAAAGAGCUCGUAGGCGGUCUGUCGCGUCGGUCGUGAAAACCUGCAGCUUAACUGUGGGCGUGCGGUCGAUACGGGCAUGACUGGAGUUCGGCAGGGGAGACUGGAAGUUCCUGGUGUAGCGGUGAAUGACGCGAGAUAUCAGGAAGAACACCCGUGGCGAAGGCGGCUCUCUGGAACGCAACUGACGCUGAGACGCGAAAGCGUGGGGAGCAAACAGG